rnacentral:misc_RNA from 1 species
GAAAAAACUCUGGGUGUCGACUUGUCAGUUUACGGGACAUCCAAAGUUGUAGGAACUCAAGCACCUGUCCAGUUGGGAUCCCUUCGUGCAGCGGAUGGCAAAGAGUGAAGUUGGUGAACUCUGUUAUUCCUUGUCAUCUUAUUAGUUUGGCGAGGGAGAAUUAUCGGUUGUGUAGCCUCAAGUUUAGUAUAUUGGCUUGUUAUUGUUGUUUGAAACUAUUUAGGGCAUUUGUUUCUCCUCAAGCUUUGCCUUAUGUUGGUAUAUAUAUGGUGUAGUACACCUGACAUUAUAUUUUGCUUGGAAAUCUUACUUCCAUUGUAUCGGAC